CCUACGGGAGGCAGCAGUGGGGAAUAUUGCACAAUGGGCGCAAGCCUGAUGCAGCGACGCCGCGUGAGGGAUGACGGCCUUCGGGUUGUAAACCUCUUUCAGUAGGGAAGAAGCGAAAGUGACGGUACCUGCAGAAGAAGCGCCGGCUAACUACGUGCCAGCAGCCGCGGUAAUACGUAGGGCGCAAGCGUUAUCCGGAAUUAUUGGGCGUAAAGAGCUCGUAGGCGGUUUGUCGCGUCUGCCGUGAAAGUCCGGGGCUCAACUCCGGAUCUGCGGUGGGUACGGGCAGACUAGAGUGAUGUAGGGGAGACUGGAAUUCCUGGUGUAGCGGUGAAAUGCGCAGAUAUCAGGAGGAACACCGAUGGCGAAGGCAGGUCUCUGGGCAUUAACUGACGCUGAGGAGCGAAAGCAUGGGGAGCGAACAGGAUUAGAUACCCUGGUAGUCCAUGCCGUAAACGUUGGGCACUAGGUGUGGGGGACAUUCCACGUUUUCCGCGCCGUAGCUAACGCAUUAAGUGCCCGCCUGGGGAGUACGGCCGCAAGGCUAAACUCAAAGGAAUUGACGGCUGAGAGNGCGACGACGACGACGAGGGAGAGG
rnacentral:rRNA from 1 species